rnacentral:rRNA from 1 species
GAUCAUGGCUCAGGACGAACGCUGGCGGCGUGCUUAACACAUGCAAGUCGAACGGAGCGAACGGGAUGAAGCCUUCGGGCGGAAUUCCGUGAGCUUAGUGGCGAACGGGUGAGUAACGCGUGAGCAACCGGUCCCAAAGAGGGGGACAACUUUGAGAAAUCAAGGCUAAUACCGCGUAAGACCACACUGCCGCAUGGCAGAGGGGUCAAAGGAGAAAUCCGCUUUGGGGAGGGCUCGCGUCUGAUUAGGUAGUUGG